UACGUAGGGUGCGAGCGUUGUCCGGAAUUAUUGGGGCGUAAAGGGCUCGUAGGCGGUUUGUCGCGUCGGGAGUGAAAUCCACUGGCUUAACUGGUGGCUUGCUUUCGAUACGGGCAGACUAGAGGUAUGCAGGGGAGAACGGAAUUCCUGGUGUAGCGGUGAAAUGCGCAGAUAUCAGGAGGAACACCGGUGGCGAAGGCGGGUCUCUGGGCCGAUACUGACGCUGAGGAGCGAAAGCGUGGGGAGCGAACAGG
rnacentral:rRNA from 1 species